GUGUAACCCAGGUGUAUCUCAGGUGUAACCCAGGUGUAUUUCUCACUCAGGUGUACCCCAGGUGUAACCCAGGUGUAACCCAGGUGUAACCCAGGUAUCUCAGGUGUAACCCAGGUGUAUCUCAGGUGUAACCCAGGUGUAUCUCAGGUGUAACCCAGGUGUAUUUCUCACCCAUGUGUAACCCAGGUGUAACCCAGGUGCAUUCCCUUUGCAGGUGCCGCAGCUCAGGUGAGGCUGGGUGGGCUCAGGUGUAUCUCAGGUGUAUCUCAGGUGUAACCCAGGUGUAUCUCACCUGUCUCAGGUGUAACCCAGGUGUAACCCUGGUGUAACCCAGGUGUAUCUCUCACCAGGUGCCGCGGCUCAGGUGAGGCUGGGUGGGCUCAGGUGUAUCCCAGGUGUAACCCAGGUGUAACCCAGGUGUAUCCCAGGUGUAUCACAGAUAUCUCAGGUGUAUCCCAGGUGUAUCCCAGGUGUAACCCUGGUGUAACCCCAGUGUAUUUCUCACCCUUUGCAGGUGCCGCGGCUCAGGUGAGGCUGGGUGGGCUCAGGUGUAUCUCAGGUGUAUCCCAGGUGUAUCCCAGGUGUAUCCCAGGUGUAUCCCAGGUGUAUCCCAGGUGUAACCCAGGUGUAUCACAGAUAUCCCAGGUGUAACCCAGGUAUCUCAGGUGUAUCUCAGGUGUACCCAUGUGUAUCCCAGGUGUAUUUCUCACCCAGGUGUAUUCCCGUUGCAGGUGCCGCGGCUCAGGUGAGGCUGGGUGGGCUCAGGUGUAUCCCAGGUGUAUCCAGGUGUAUCCCAGGUGUAUCACAGAUAUCUCAGGUGUAACCCAGGUGUAACCCAGGUGUAACCCCGGUGUAACCCAGGUGUAUCACAGAUAUCUCAGGUGUACCCAGGUGUAUCCCAGGUGUAACCCCGGUGUAUUCCCAUUGCAGGUGCCGCGGCUCAGGUGUAACCCAGGUGUACCCAGGUGUACCCCAGGUGUAUCUCACCUAUCUCAGGUGUAACCCAGGUGUAUCACAGAUAUCCCAGGUGUAUCCUAGGUGUAACCCAGGUGUAUCUCAGGUGUAACCCAGGUGUAUUUCUCACAGGUGCCGCGGCUCAGGUGAGGCUGGGGGGGCUCAGGUGUAUCUCAGGUGUAUCCCAGGUGUAUCACAGAUAUCCCAUGUGUAACCCAGGUGUAACCCAGGUGUAUCCA
rnacentral:lncRNA from 1 species